AAUUUCUAAACGAAUUAUACCAAACUAAGUUUAGCCUUGCGCUAUGCCACCAAGACUUUUGUUAUUUAUUUCGUUAGUUACGACGAGGUGGUCUGAUUUCCAGUUUGUUUGCAUCGUCUGCAUUUGGAUUUAAUUAGCUGUACGUGGUAACUAUUUAAACAAUGGCAAAACAAAAGCCAACCAUUGAAGACUGAAUUAAGGGUCACAAGGAACUAAAAAAUUACAAUAAAAAGAAUUUUUGUCAAGCAUGUUCUAAAACUAUUGUUUGUGACAAAAAAUACGGCGUAACUCAGCAUUUACAAACUGAACGACAUAAGGAGCACAUUAAAAAAUAUGAGAAAAAUCAAAAUAAGCAACAAACUAUUUUGACUUCGCUAGCUUCAAAUUCUCGGUUUAAUGAACAAAAACAAUUUCAAUUUGAUUUGUGCAGUGCUAUGGUUAAAUCAGACAUUCCAUUGAAUAAAUUGCAAAGUAGUUCGUUUAGACAAUUUCUAGAAAAAUAUUUUAAAAAAGCAUUCCAGAUGAGAGUACUCUUCGUAAAAAUUUUGUCAGCCCAGUUUAUGAUAAAACAAUGCAGCAACUUAAAAAAAUUAGCGCAAAUAAUUAUAUAUGGUUUACUGUAGAUGAAACGACUGACACAUGUGGGAGAUAAAUAGCCAACUUGAUUAUAGGAGUCUUAAAUGAAGAUAUUGUCACAGAACCAUUUUUAAUAAGUUUGAAGGAAUUAACAAAAACGAACAGUAAUACUAUUUCUAGAUUUGUACAUGAAGUUAAACAAGUUUUUUUUGCCCGAGGUGGUUCCAAAUGAGAAAAUUGUUGAUGCUUUCCGACGCAGCAGCAUAGAUGAUUAAAGCUGCAUCAAAUUUUAAAAUUGUUUACUAUAAUUUAAUCCAUUGCACCUGCUUAGCACAUGGGCUUAACCGCAUAGCUGAAACUAUAAGAUUGCAGUAUCCGUUAGUCAAUAAAUUUAUAAAAAAUGGCA